UACGUAGGGUGCAGGCGUUAAUCGGAAUUACUGGGCGUAAAGCGUGCGCAGGCGGUUUGUUAAGACAGAUGUGAAAUCCCCGGGCUCAACCUGGGAACAGCGCUUGAGACUGGCACGCUCGAGUUCGGGAGAGGAUGGUGGAAUUCCCAGUGUAGAGGUGAAAUUCGUAGAUAUUGGGAAGAACACCGAUGGCGAAGGCAGCCAUCUGGACCGACACUGACGCUGAGGCGCGAAAGCGUGGGGAGCAAACAGG
rnacentral:rRNA from 1 species